rnacentral:rRNA from 1 species
UACGUAGGGCGCAAGCGUUGUCCGGAAUUAUUGGGCGUAAAGAGCUUGUAGGCGGUCUGUCGCGUCUGCUGUGAAAGUCCAGGCUCAACCCUGGGAUGCCGGUGGAUACUGUCGAGCUCGAGUCCGGAAGAGGCGAGUGGAAUUCCUGGUGUAGCGGUGAAAUGCGCAGAUAUCAGGAGGAACACCGGUGGCGAAGGCGGGUCUCUGGGCCGAUACUGACGCUGAGGAGCGAAAGCGUGGGGAGCGAACAGG